UACGUAGGGGGCAAGCGUUGUCCGGAUUCAUUGGGCGUAAAGAGCGUGUAGGCGGCCAGGUAGGUCGGUUGUGAAAACUGGAGGCUCAACCUUCAGACGUCGACCGAAACCAUCUGGCUAGAGUCCGGGAGAGGAGAGUGGAAUUCCUGGUGUAGCGGUGAAAUGCGCAGAUAUUGCUCGGAAGGCCGGAGCCGAAGGGGCCCCACUGGUACGUAACUGACGCUGAGGCACGAAAGCGUGGGGAGCAAACAGG
rnacentral:rRNA from 1 species